GCAACAUCUAGGACACAUCUACACUGUAGAAAUAAGGAAAGUUUCAUCUUCCAUUUCCUUCGGAGGCCUUGGCAAAGCUGCAUUAAUUCCAUAUCCCUUCAGUCUGCCUGAGGAAAAAGCAGACACAACACUGCUCUCAAGUAUCACAGUGCAACUAGGGACCUAUAUCCUCCAGCAGAGGCAGCCUUCUGCAGUCACAAUCACACGGUGAAUCUGUGUCAGAUACCAAACUCAUCACCAAAAUCAUCCUCUUCGGAAAAAAAUUGGCACUUCAGUCCAGGGCCGCAUUUGACACCAUCCAUACCUGCAACGGUCCGGUAACAAGUCUCCCCCAAAGCUGCAGCACAGACCCUGCAGC